CAGAAAAGGAAGGAAUGGCUGCUUUUGACUACACCUGAGGGAGAAAGGUACCGCCAGGCUGAAAGGGCAGCCCGGCACCAGAAGAUACGGCGGUACCUGUCAGAAAAGCUGUCCAAUGUCAAGAGAAAUCACUACAAAGGCUCAUCCCUUUGCUGCCUGUCCUCCCCCGAUGCGUGGUCCCACCACGGACUGCCCAUGCUGCUGCAGGUCUGCCAUCGCUUGCACCCCAUGUUGUAGCCUUUUUACCCUUUUUUCAUAUUAAUUUAGCUUCAUUUAUAUAUUGCCAAUACUAUUGAAAUGGAACAAAUGUACUAUCGCAGCCAAUAUGAGCUGAAACGCCACUGCAAGUGGCACGCGAUGAGAGUUGUCUCUCAGAUUGUUCAGCAAACCUUGGUAUGCGUUGAGGUAGAAACAAAUCACUUCUUGUGCUCGUUGCACCACUAUGCCGUUCCGUGUCAAUUUUCAGCUCAUAGUGGCACAAUGAGUGCAAGAAGCAACCUGCCUAAACCUCAGCAAACACAGAGGUUCACUGAAAAUCUGACAGGUGGC